UGAUAGAGGAAAGCAGAAUUUCUAGUGUAGAGGUGAAAUUCGUAGAUAUUAGAAAGAAUACCAAUUGCGAAGGCAGCUUUCUGGAUCAUUACUGACACUGAGGAACGAAAGCAUGGGUAGCGAAGAGGAUUAGAUACCCUCGUAGUCCAUGCCGUAAACGAUGUGUGUUAGACGUUGGAAAUUUAUUUUCAGUGUCGCAGCGAAAGCGAUAAACACACCGCCUGGGGAGUACGACCGCAAGGUUAAAACUCAAAUGAAUUGACGGGGACCCGCACAAGUAGUGGAGCAUGUGGUUUAAUUCGAAGAUACGCGCAGAACCUUACCAACACUUGACAUGUUCGUCGCGACUUUAAGAGAUUAAAGUUUUCGGUUCGGCCGGACGAAACACAGGUGCUGCAUGGCUGUCGUCAGCUCGUGUCGUGAGAUGUUGGGUUAAGUCCCGCAACGAGCGCAACCCUCACUUUUAGUUGCCAUCAUUAAGUUGGGCACUCUGAAAGAACUGCCAGUGAUAAGCUGGAGGAAGGUGGGGAUGACGUCAAGUCCUCAUGGCCCUUACGUGUUGGGCUACACACGUGCUACAAUGGUAUCUACAACAGGAAGCAAGACGGCGACGUUAAGCAAAUCCUUAAAAGAUACCUCAGUUCGGAUUGCACUCUGCAACUCGAGUGCAUGAAGCUGGAAUUACUAGUAAUCGUGGAUCAGCGUGCCACGGUGAAUGCGUUCCCGCGCCUUGCACACACCGCCCG
rnacentral:rRNA from 1 species